CAAAGAGUUGGGGCGGUGGAGGCCUCCCAAAUGGGCUGGAGGACACACCGACCCCACCCCAUGCUGCCCACCCGCCUGUGGGAUCCACCAUGCCACAUGACAGCCAGCCUGACAGCACCAGUCGCUGGUGAGUCUGGUAGCCCUGGAAACCCUCUCACAGCCAGCCGAGAUGUGAGGGACACAGAGAGAGGAGGUGCCAUUUCAGACCCCUAUGCCUGGCACGUUGGGGUGAGAAGGACACACCAGUCAGAGCUGGUUCUGAGGCUCGCAUCCGGAGGGAGAUCCUGGAACCAGGGCUGAGGCUCGCAUCCUGAGGGACAUGCUGGAACCAGGGGGCAUCCGAGUUGGGGACACAGUCUGGGAAGGUGUCUAAAGGAAGUGAGAAUUGAAGGAGGGACAGAGCGCUACCCAGAAGGGCAUAACUAGAGGCUGGGACCAGGUCAGGAAACAUGUCCCUCAGGUGUAGAAGCUGCAAGUGAGAAACCAACGUGGUAGGAACCUCAGCAGGCUGGCUCCAGCUCCAGAAGCUGUUGGAGUUGAGGAUUUGUUCUCUGUAGAGGAGCAACAUCACCUGUGUAGUCUGGUUCCUAGGCUAGGCCAUCCUCUAGAAUUCUGUGUGAGCCAGAAUGUUCAACUAAUAAGAGAAGGCUGCACAUUGUGGGUGGAGAGCGGGAAAGAGAGGGGGCUUGCAGCAUCUGCAGGGGCCAGAAACUACAUGCACAGAGAAGCUUUCUCAAUCGGAAAAGAGCUUAGGAAACAUUGAACUGGAGAACAACGGAAGCAAACCUGUGUCCGGGAGUGGCUCCAGUGAAACCCACCUCUUUCUCUGUGUAUGGAAUUCCAAACACCCGUUGUACAGGAGGAAGCAGCUACAGAUCGUCCUACUCACCAGCUGGGUGGCACCACCGGCUUUAAGUAAUGGGUAAACUGGCUCAAGCAAGCCUGGGACUCAGAGACAGAUGUGCGAAGCAGAGAUGUUGCCAUGCCUAGGCUGAGGGCUUUCAGCCAAUCGAGAAGAGAACUGAGGCUUGGAGGAUUCAAACAACUUGCCAAAGGUCCCUGUUGGUAAAUGGUAUAUCCAAAAAAGAUCUGAGCUGAAGCCAAAUCCUGCAUUCCUUCUACACCUUGGCAAGGACUGGAUCAUCGCUUCUAGCAAACAGCUG
rnacentral:lncRNA from 1 species